rnacentral:rRNA from 1 species
GAUGAACGCUGGCGGCGUGCUUAACACAUGCAAGUCGAACGAAGAUGCCGGAGUGCUUGCACUUUGGCAGACUGAGUGGCGGACGGGUGAGUAACGCGUGGGUAACCUGCCUCACACAGGGGGAUAGCAGUUGGAAACGGCUGAUAAUACCGCAUAAGCGCACAGUACCGCAUGGUACAGUGUGAAAAAACUCCGGUGGUGUGAGAUGGACCCGCGUCUGAUUAGCUAGUUGGCAGGGCAACGGCCUACCAAGGCGACGAUCAGUAGCCGACCUGAGAGGGUGACCGGCCACAUUGGGACUGAGACACGGCCCAAAACUCCUACGGGAGCAGCAGUGGGGAAUAUUGCACAAUGGGGGAAACCCUGAUGCAGCGACGCCGCGUGAGCGAAGAAGUAUUCGGUAUGU